GCCCUCCUCCCUGUGAUUUUGAGGGAGGAACAGCAGUGCCCUGGCAGGAGUGCUGUAACCAAUUCCGUACACGUCCUGUCCUCUUCUCAGGUUGAAUGUCUCCAUUGAAUGUAAGCGAGUGUCUGGACUGGAGCCAGCCACCGUGGAUUGGGCCUUCGACCUGACCAAAACGAAUAUGCAAACCAUGUAAGCGUGUCCCGACCAGGGGAGCUUAGUUCCUCUCCCAGCUUUCCUGUCUGACUGCUCCCAAAUUCCCCAGGUAUGAGCAGAGCGAGUGGGGCUGGAAGGACCGAGAGAAACGGGAGGAAAUGACAGAUGACCGAGCCUGGUACCUCAUCGCGUGGGAAAACAGCUCCGUCCCUGUUGCCUUUUCUCACUUCCGGUUUGACGUGGAGUGUGGGGAUGAAGUCCUGUACUGGUAGGA
rnacentral:sRNA from 1 species